ACAUAUCAUGUAAACACAGAUGAACACAUCAGAAUACAUACAGAAAUACCCCAGAUUUCUACAGUCCCCCCUCUUGAUCAAUUAAAAAACACAGAUUUUUAUAGAUCAUACAAAACAAAUAAAAGGAGUCUGAUGUGGUCUAAAGAACAGAGGACAAACCAAGACAAGAUUACUUCUCUAGCACUUUGAAAAGGAGGAAGUGCCGGUGUCUUAAAAGAAAAACAUAAUAACUGAUUUCGUUCCGGAGGAUUGUCUCACACAUAAAAA